UACAGAGGGGGCAAGCGUUGUUCGGAAUUACUGGGCGUAAAGGGCGCGUAGGCGGCCCGCUAAGUCGAACGUGAAAUCCCUGAGCUCAACUCGGGAACUGCGUCCGAUACUGGUGGGCUUGAAUCCGGAGAGGGAUGCGGAAUUCCCGGUGUAGAGGUGAAAUUCGUAGAUAUCGGGAGGAACACCAGUGGCGAAGGCGGCGACCUGGGCCAAUAUUGACGCUGAGGUGCGAAAGCGUGGGGAGCAAACAGG
rnacentral:rRNA from 1 species